GAUCAUCAUAUCAGCACAGUUUCUUUCUUGCUGAAACGUGCAAGUACUUAUAUCUCCUCUUCGAUGAUUCAUUUGUGGCCAAAAGGAAUUAUAUACUUACAACCGAGGGCCACCCUAUCCAGGUUGUGAGCUCCUGGCAUGAAAAAGUACCAAAAAGUUAUUUCUCAGGCAACUGGACGCUUUCAAAGAGAGGGGCAUGGGAAAGUGGAGCUAGCGCAUUGCCACUGCAAGUAUGUCCAUCGAUAGCUCUCAACUCUAGACGUCCUGAGCAACACAGAGAGAGUGCUUGCCAUGUCCCUGACGAGAAAAUCAAUCAUAGGUGUUGGAGCAACAAAGAGUGUGGAGUUGAUGCCACUACUUGUAGACAAAGAUCCUGCAGCGGAGUUGGAUACUGCGGCUUAUGGAAUCCCUUAUAACUUUUGACACAAAACAGGGCGUUUUAGAGGUUUAGGAAAGGAAAGGAAAGAGAAGAGUUGGUUUGGUUGACAGUAAAAUGAAUAGUUGUUGCAUGAGGCUGUUGUAUCUUUUCUUUGAGUCAUCAGUCUUGACAUGGAUAUAUAUAUAUAUACUACGGGAGGAUUAACCUCAAUGAAAGGAAUAUUAAUGUUUUUCUUCAAGUAUAGCUUUAUGAAUUGGUAACUUUUAGGACCUUUACAAGUUAACAACAUAAAAGCUUGCAAUCACUUUAAUUCACCACAGGUCGUGCAAAACGAAAACAAUCUCUUGAUGCAGAUGUUGACCUGAAGUGAUGGUUGUGAAAUUUGGAACAUAAAGUCAAAGAGAUUUAAACACCACCGCAAUAUGUCAUAGAUUAUACAUCAAAA